rnacentral:rRNA from 1 species
CCUACGGGGGGCAGCAGUGGGGAAUAUUGCACAAUGGGCGAAACCCUGAUGCAGCGACGCCGCGUGAGUGAAGAAGUUUUUAGGUACGUAAAGCCCUAUCAGCAGGGAAGAAAAUGACGGUACCUGACUAAGAAGCCCCGGCUAACUACGUGCCAGCAGCCGCGGUACUACGCAGGGGGCAAGCGUUAUCCGGAUUUACCGGGUGUAAAGGGAGCGUAGGCGGCAGCGUAAGUCUGUAGUGAAAUCCCAUGGAUUAACCAUGGAACUGCCUUGGAAACUGGGCAGCUAGAGUGCAGGAGAGGUAAGCGGAAUUCGUAGUGUAGCGGUGAAAUGCGUAGAUAUGAGGAGGAACACCAGUGGCGAAGGCGGCUUACUGGACUGUAACUGACGUUGAGGCUCGAAAGCGUGGGGAGCAAACAGGAUUAGAUACCCGUGUAGUC